AAAAAGACAAACUGUAUGUUCCCGUGCCAACGUUUGACUGUUCGUCUUAUAUGAAAUUUUUUUAUAAUUAGUAUUUUAGUUAUUGUUAGAUAAUAAAACAUGAUUAAUAUUUUAUGCAUGACUUAUUUUUUUAAUUUUUUUUAUAAUUUUUUUAAAUAAGACGAACGGUCAAACGUUGGACACGGAAACCAGGGUUUGUCUUUUU
rfam:Oryza rufipogon genomic scaffold, chr08